UAAAGCUAGGGGUUUCACGCGCUAGUUAGCUCGAGGGCUUAAAAUGAAAUGAGUUUAUCUUCGUAGAAUUCAAACUGACGUUAAAUGACGUUUGAUAACGGAGGCUUCAUUGAGUGAAAUUCCUAAGCUGAAUCUGGUUAGCUUGUUAGCUUUAGCAAACGUAAGCUUAGAAAUCAGAGCCCAUGACAGAUGUAUGGCGCGUGCUGCUCACCUGAAAGCUCGCCUCGUGUGAUAGACGUUAAUUAACGGAACGUCUCGCGCUUAUCAUCAAUCCCACCACCAGCUGCAGCAAUGUUAGCUCCACGCGCACACACCCCUAGUAACGUACCACUCAAAAAACGUUACACACUCAGAAAACGUACACACAUCCGCCCCGUAUGCUCUUACCUCACCAGGCGACGAUGACGACCUCUCUUAACUCUGCUGUCACCAAGUUUAAUGUUGUUCCUUCACUCUGGAGGAGAACGUUACGAGCUAGCUAGCUUGAUCAACUUCCUAGCUGUGCUUCCUGUAAAGAGCUUCCGCAUACUAGCUUCUUAUUCCUUAUCGUUGGUACACAUCAGCUGGUGUAGCAAACUACAGUAUUCAGGGUGAUUCCUCAUUCUAAAACAACGACCACUCAACUAGGGGAACAACCACUGGACACCACCACCACCUAACCGAGAGACAGCUGUAAAGAAUGGACAGUGCUGUGAGGCCUGGAGACUGGAAAGUUUGCAUCAGGCAUGGCGAAGUCAGCUUUGGGGUCCAGUCAGUCUGGAGGUAAAAGAAAGCAAAAAAAAACAGGAGGCUGUCAGAAUCAGAGCCAGACAGCCUGGAACGCAGCCAAACCUUGGAAUGAACAGUUCCUCUCCCCCCUCCCUCUUUAAGAGACGAGCGGAUGGAUGGAUGGAUGGAUGGAAAAAAAGGCAGAUCUGGUGAUGUGAUUCACAGAGGAGGAAACAAGAUAUAGGUGCAGAGAUGACUGAGGGGCGGAUCAAUACAGGACGACAGAGAAAAGAGGCAUACUGACUUACUAACCGGAUCUCUUCUAAGACACUGCACUGGAGAGAGGGAGGGAGAGAGCGAGAGACAGAGAGAGGGAGGAGAGAGAGUCUGUGUGUGAUCGAGUAAGUGCAGGAGGGAGAGAGAAAAGGAGAGAACGCAGGAGAGCAAGGAAAAGAAGCUAGAGCUGAGAGGAAGAGAGUCGCAGGAGGAAAAAGGGAGAAUGCACGGCGUCUGGGUAACACUUCCACGUUUGUAUCCAGGGCCUUUGUGAAUACACCAUGGGAUGCAUCGGCUCCAGGAGACUGACGGCGGAUGGCGUGCCAGUCCAGAAGGAUGGGGAGCAGCAUGGACGUUCAGAAUUUUCAUGGGAAGGAAUCAAUCUGUCUAUGGAAGACACCACAUCAAUCCUGCCACGGCUCAAGAGGAACUCAAACGCUUAUGGCAUCGGGGCGUUGGCUAAGUCUUCUCUGUCAGGUGUGUCAGGUGUGACUCGCACCAUGAAGGAGCGGGUCACCAAGCCAACAGCCAUGGCCCAGGGUCGCGUCGCUCACAUGAUUGAAUGGCAGAACUGGGGCAUGUCGACAGUGGGUCCAGGGGGCAUCCCCCAGUCCCGCAUCACCACCCAAGAGCGAGAAAAGGAGCGGCGGCUGGAGAAUGACGCCUACAGUGACCUCAGUGACGGGGAGAAGGAGGCCCGUUUCACUGCAGGUAUUCUGCAACAGUUUGCAAUCUCAGAGGCAACACUCCUAGCCUGGUCAUCGAUGGAUGGAGAGAGUCCGCGGUCGGGCUCAAACCAGGGCAGCGUGGCUCAUCUGAGCGAAGUCAACCAGGAGAGUAUCACUAGUAGAGAUCAGAUAUUGCAUCACUCCUCAGCAGAGGUGUGGCCUCACACGUACGUCUCCCAGGGCCACUACUGCCUGUCCUCCUCUGAUGCAUGGGAGCCGAUCACCAAUGACCCCUCCGUUGUGGCGUCUCCCGCUGCUGGCUCCUACGUUAUGGGGACUGAGGGGUUUGAUGGGCAGGCGGCGGCUCACUUUCUGUCGCAGCAGCAACAGCAGCAACAGUUCACCCUCCAGCAGCAGAGCCAACUCCAGCAGCUGCAGCAGAUCCAACAGAUCCAGCACUACCAGCAACAGCAGCUCUUGCAGUAUCAGCAACAACAGUCGCUGGAGCACCGGCUGCACAGUGCCAACCACUCUUUGCAAGCGACGCCCAACAGCACCAUCCACAGUCUGGUCCAUCCCGCUCACCCUCCAUUGGUGGAUCUGUGGAACACAGGGCAGAUGGAGGCCUAUCAAACGGAGGCCGGAGGCUUCAUGGGUGUGUCAGCGGUGGUGGAGCCGAGCCUCUGUGUUCCCUCUGGAGACGAGACGGUGGGAACAGAACACUCCCCGCUGCUGGAGCAACACGAGGAGGAGGAGGGGGUCAAGACAUUAUGAUUACUUCCAUUACCUGAGGUGGAUUUUUACACUUUUAAAAGGCUGAACAGGAGGAGGAGGUCACACUGUGCAUGGAGCCCGAGUCGACCAUGUUGACUCCGCCCACGCAACAAGGAGACGCCUCCGGUGGAAGUAGUCCAGGGCAACCGCCAGCAGAGCCAAUUACAGAGCGGAAGGCCUCCGAUGUCAGCUCUGGCCUUGUUCAAACAUUAGAGGGGAAGGACGAGGAGGGACCCGCCGCUUCCAUGGCAACCAACUGAGCUACUGGAUGUCGAGGGACCUUUUACGAACUGACCAGGGAGUCAGCGAGGAAGGAGCGUAAUAAUACAAUAUAUAUCUAUUUAUCUGUUCCCUUUUCAGGUAUCAAAAACACAACUUUUCAGUUGGAAAUGAAUUCUUCAAACUGGUGAAAGACUGAUUUAAAGGUGGACUCACAAAGAGACAAGAGCUGAUGCAACAAAGGACACCUAUUUCUUUGUAAGCCUUACAUCCAAAAGGUAACUGAGGAGAGGAUUAAGGAAGGAGGGACUGAAGAGGAAGAGGUAGAGGAGCACCCACUGAUGGAGACAUUUCCAUUAGUGAAGUGAAACCACAGUUAGAGGCAGAAGAGGGGAACGGAAACAUGCAUGCUUUUAAUAAGGACAAGCAACUCGACCCUGUCAUCGUCUUAUAAUAAUGAUAAUAAAAAUCUACCAUAAGAAAACAUUAUAAUAAGAAUAAUUUUGUAAGAAAGAAAAAAAAAGAUUAAGACAAAAAUCUAUGUAUAAGUGUACAAUAAGAUAAAAAGUUUUCCCUCUGGAGAACUUCUCUGUUUACAGCUGUUACUCAACAUAUUAGUGUUUAAUCAAAUUUAUUUCCCUGUUGCAUCAAACUCACACAGUAUACUUCAAAAUUACUAACCCAAAAAAUUCCACACGUGAUCAAAAUAGGCUCAGAAAAUGUCAGCAUUUCAGUGAAAUGCAGAUUAACCCUCCAAAAUAAAUUGAUGUUGUGGCACGUGAAUGCCCGAGGCACAACCCAGGGACAGGCCUGUCCUGCUGACUGCACACACUGAACCCUGCACAGAUAAGGAUUGUACUGUAAGAUAGUGUGCUUCCUACUCUGUCUCUCUGUAUGCAUGUUUCUUCAGAGUACUAUGGAGUACCUGUACUAUACAGCACUGUAUAGACUUUGCACUGAACCAUAGUAUCCCAGGUGGGGCCACAGCAAGUCUGCGGCGAGAAAUAAAGACGGAGCUGCAUAAAGCGAAUCUCCUUUGCACUGAUGCAAUCCUACAGAUCAGAGGUUGCCUUCGGACGGUCAAUGUUACCCAGUUCCCACUCUGAAAGCUUUCAGCACCACUGACAACCAAAACCGAGCCACUUAACAACACAAAACCCUCAGCUGCUUGUUUAUUUCCACAGACGUCUUCGUGAUAAAUUGAGGAUGAUAACCACUAUUUGAAUGUACUGGAAGACAGAUGGCAGAACAUGAGCGUUUGUUUUUGAUGUCUCUUCACACUCCACAUGGGACAGAAUCAAACAAGAUAAGUCUUUCAAACUUGUGGGAGUGUGGGGGGGUCGGCUGCAAAUGGAUUCACUGCUUGCUCGCCUAGACCACCACCCCAUGUACACACACACAGACAGACACACACACACAUACAUACACACACAUACACACAUAACAUACACAAAUAUCUAAAUUGUAACCAGCAAUAGACAGGCAGAACACUGGCUUCCCAACAGCCCAGUGUCAGCUCUGUCACAUAGAUGUAAAUAGUCUGAGUAUAUAAAAAUCGCCUCUUACUUACAGUCACAACUGUUCUAGUGCAGUAUGAUUUCUUUAUUUUUGUACACCUCUCAAUCCCACUUUAUUUUGGGAUUGCUCUCAAGCUUUUUGGCCUAUUUUUCUCUCUCUCAUGUGAGCCACCACUUGAAGAUAAAUGAAACGGAGGAAUGUUUGUGUUGUAAAUAGAGCGAUCAUUAACCAAGCGAGUCCAUCAGUGGGGACACAAAGAACUAACAGUUGUAGGUUUGAGUCCACGGGGGGGAAAUUACAGCCUGCGUGCCGCUCAAUCAGCCAAUCAGGGAACAGAACAGAAGACUUGGACUGAACACUGGAGCCGAACAGAUCGGUGUCUUCCUGCUCGUUGUGAUUACUGUGAAGCAGCUGCCUAGAGUGUGAUAGUGAUUCUAAUGAUGUUUGAGGAAGCAUGUUUUCAUUUCUUUUUUUUCUUUUCGUUUUGCCUGAGGAGGAAUGGGUAUUUUCCAGUGAGGAGAGAAGGGAGCAGGAAAGAAACAGUUGAAAAUCGUGGACUGGACUGUGCAUGACUCACUGGCGAACGUUACUACAACACAAAAACCACUGUCUCCAUCCUUUCUCUGUCGGGGAGCACCUUCUCCUCUCACUUUGAUGAUUGUGUGAGAAACUUUCAAGAUAAAAAAAACAACACAACUAAAUGGUUUAUUGACUUGAAUGACUUUUAUUUAACGAUUGCUUCUUUAUGCAAUGUUGGGGACAAUGUUUAUUUUUCUACUGACUUGUUGAAAUCCCCUCCAGUAUGAGUUGGAAUAGGUGCCAAGGUCGUAAAGCAAUCUUGUUUCUGUCCAGUUUUGAGCACUUUACAGUAUGAGAACACCAUGCUGAAAACUACAAGAGAUUACAGAUGAAAGUUUGGCAGCUCUUACCUAUAUGAUUUUAUUUCACUUUAGAAAUCCCUGUUUCAUGACUGACAAAGAUGAGAGGGCUCAAAACUGCAAACAGAUUGUCUUUACAAGAUGGCACAUAUUCAUUUAUUUAUUGAACAAUUACUUGUUGGGGAGGAAUAAUGUGACAGCUUGUACAGAGACUAUAAUUUUAUGUAGGUAUAAACCCUUCUGGGAGCAGUAUCUUUUUCUUCAUACGUCACAUUAUAUGUUUGAAGUCUGUAUCUUUAUGUUUGAAAGGCUUAAAACAAGAAACUGGACUUGAUGAAAAGACACUGCUUCAACUUGGGUUCCUUUUCUUUUCUUUACCAGAAGUUCAAUGAAUGAAUAAACUAAUAACGAGAAGCCAAAUA